AUUGAACGCUUGCGGCAGGCCUAACACAUGCAAGUAGAGCGAGCGGCGGACGGGUGAGUCAUGUAUGGGGACUGCCCGAAAGAGGGGAAUAACUCAUGGAAACGGUGGCUACUAACGCAUGCUAUCGUGUAACCCAUAUGGGAUUAUCUAGUAGGUGGGGUAAAGGCUCACCUAGGCGAGUCUCUCUAGCUUGUAUGAGCGGAUGAUCAGCCACAUUAGGACUGUGACACGUCCAAUGCUCCUCCGGACGCAGCAGUGGGAACUAUUGAACAAUGUGCGCAAGCCUGAUGCAGCCAUGCCGCGUGUAUGAAGAAGGCCUUAGGGUUGUAAAGUACUUUCAGCGGGGAGGCGUUACCCGCAGAAGAAGCACCGGCUAACGCCGUGCCAGCCGCCGCGGUAGUUC
rnacentral:rRNA from 1 species